rnacentral:rRNA from 1 species
AUUGAACGCUGGCGGAAUGCUUUACACAUGCAAGUCGAACGGCAGCACGGAGAGCUUGCUCUCUGGUGGCGAGUGACGAACGGGUGAGUAAUAUAUCGGAACGUGUCCAAUAAUGGGGGAUAACGAGUCGAAAGAUUCGCUAAUACCGCAUACGCCCUAUGGGGGAAAGCAGGGGAUCGUAAGACCUUGCGUUAAUGGAGCGGCCGAUAUCUGAUUAGCUUGUUGGUGAGGUAAAGGCUCACCAAGGCGACGAUCAGUAGCUGGUUUGAGAGAACGACCAGCCACACUGGAACUGAGACACGGUCCAGACUCCUACGGGAGGCAGCAGUGGGGAAUUUUGGACAAUGGGGGCAACCCUGAUCCAGCCAUUCCGCGUGAGUGAAGAAGGCCUUCGGGUUGUAAAGCUCUUUCGCGAGGGAAGAAAACUUAUGAUCGAAUAAAUCAUGAGGUUGACGGUACCUUGAUAAGAAGCACCGGCUAACUACGUGCCAGCAGCCGCGGUAAUACGUAGGGUGCGAGCGUUAAUCGGAAUUACUGGGCGUAAAGCGUGCGCAGGCGGUUUUGUAAGUCGGAUGUGAAAUCCCCGGGCUCAACCUGGGAACUGCGUUCGAAACUGCAAGGCUAGAGUGUGUCAGAGGGGGGUAGAAUUCCACGUGUAGCAGUGAAAUGCGUAGAGAUGUGGAGGAAUACCAAUGGCGAAGGCAGCCCCCUGGGAUAACACUGACGCUCAUGCACGAAAGCGUGGGGAGCAAACAGGAUUAGAUACCCUGGUAGUCCACGCCCUAAACGAUGUCAACUAGUUGUUGGUAGAGUAAAAUCUAUGAGUAACGUAGCUAACGCGUGAAGUUGACCGCCUGGGGAGUACGGUCGCAAGAUUA